rnacentral:rRNA from 1 species
UACGUAGGGUGCAAGCGUUGUCCGGAAUUAUUGGGCGUAAAGAGCUCGUAGGCGGUUUGUUGCGUCGGCUGUGAAAUCCCGAGGCUCAACCUCGGGUCUGCAGUCGAUACGAGCAAACUAGAGUGUUGCAGGGGAGACUGGAAUUCCUGGUGUAGCGGUGAAAUGCGCAGAUAUCAGGAGGAACACCGGUGGCGAAGGCGGCUCACUGGUCCGAUACUGACGCUGAGGUGCGAAAGCGUGGGGAGCAAACAGG